UGGGGAAUAUUGCACAAUGGGCGCAAGCCUGAUGCAGCCAUGCCGCGUGUAUGAAGAAGGCCUUCGGGUUGUAAAGUACUUUCAGACGGGAGGAAGGUGGUAAGGUUAAUAACCUUAUCAAUUGACGUUACCGACAGAAGAAGCACCGGCUAACUCCGUGCCAGCAGCCGCGGUAAUACGGAGGGUGCAAGCGUUAAUCGGAAUUACUGGGCGUAAAGCGCACGCAGGCGGUUGAUUGAGUCAGAUGUGAAAUCCCCGGGCUUAACCCGGGAAUUGCAUCUGAUACUGGUCAGCUAGAGUCUUGUAGAGGGGGGUAGAAUUCCAUGUGUGGCGGUGAAAUGCGUAGAGAUCUGGAGGAAUACCGGUAGCGAAGGCGGCCCCCUGGACAAAGGCUGACGCUCAGGUGCGAAAGCGUGGGGAGCAAACAGG
rnacentral:rRNA from 1 species